CUGUUUACCAAAAACAUCGCCCUCCGCAAAUAUUAACAUGGAGGGUCCUGCCUGCCCAGUGACUAAAGGUUUAACGGCCGCGGUAUCUUGACCGUGCGAAGGUAGCAUAAUCAUUUGUCUCCUAAAUAGAGACUGGUAUGAAUGGCAAGACGGAGCUUUACUGUCUCCUUUUCUCCUAUUUUAAUUUCACUUUCCCGUGAAGAGGCGGGAAUAUAUUCGUUAGACGAGAAGACCCUGUCGAGCUAUAGUAAAGUAUUUGACUUUUACCCUUAUUUUAUUCUUCUAAUAUAUUAUUUUAGAGAAUAAUAAAAUUAAAAGGUCUAUUCUAACUUUGGUUGGGGCAACCACGGAGAAAAAAAUCCUCCGUUAUUAAUUUAUUUAAAUAAAGAGAAACUACUCUAAAAUUAUAAACUAAAAAUAUGAUCCACUCCGGUGAUCAAAGGAAAAGUUACCGCAGGGAUAACAGCGUUAUCUUUUCUGAGAGUUCAUAUUGACGAAAAGGUUUGCGACCUCGAUGUUGGAUCGGGACAUCCUAAAGGUGCAGAAGCUUUUAAGGGUUGGUCUGUUCGACCAUUAAAGUCCUACGUGAUCUGAGUUCAGACCGGCGAAAGCCAGGUCAGUUUCUAUCUU
rnacentral:rRNA from 1 species